CCACCCAUCGCUCCUCUCUCGCUUGUCUCGCCCUCUCCCCCGCACCACUUCUCACCGCCGCCGCCGCCACUACCACCACCACCACCUACGACGCCCGAUCUCGCCCGAUUCUAGCAUCCUCCGGUGGUGCCCAGCACACCACCGUGCCCCCUCUAACCGCUCCUUCCUCCCAUCAGGCCAGAUCCAGCGCGUGCGUCCUCCAGCGGCCAAGCAUGAUCAUGCCCAACAGCUAGGGUUUGGGCCAGCACGUCGUCGGCGUUGCUCCGGCGUGGCUCCGGUGACUUAGAUCUAGUGCGCCGUCGCCGGUUGAGCACCGGGACGCCAUGGACAGGAAGGUUUCUUCCUCCCCUGUCUGGAUGCCAUGAACGACGCAGCUCCACCACUACCCCAUGGAGACGGAGCUCCUCCCACAUCACGCAUGGAGCCUCCCUCCCAGCGCCCGGGGCCCUAGAGGGAAAGGAAUUCAAGGCUAUGGCCGGAGAGAGAGGAGCUGAUCCUAGUACAGGACACCAUGGAAGGUGCUUCUCUGAUGAGGAGAAACUGCUGCUGAAGGACGUCCUCCUCCCCUCCCCUCCUCCUACCCCCACACGUGGUGAGCUCCAACCUCUCUUUCCAACCCUUGAACAUCUGAUCUAAAGUGAACAUCAAUUGCAAUUUUUAUGGACACAACAUGGAUGUGGCAUGUGGUGGCAGCAGGGUGCUUGAAUAGUUUCUAACCAAGAUACUGCAUCCGACCCCUCGCUCCUGACAGAGUAGUGCAGAUCAAGUAGCCUCCAUUGGUGACUGCUGUUGAGGCCUAAGUGGUCGUGCUCCAGCUCCUGCUCCAGUCCGUUUAAUAUCAAGGACGUCCUCCUCCCCUCCUCCUGCCCCCACACGUGGUGAGCUCCAAUGUAUAUGUCGAUAAUCAGGAACUGGUGGUACAGCUUAUGUUUAAUCGGUUACUUCAUAAUCUGUUCCAUUGUGUGCAUGAACAUUUACGCAUUUUUUCCUGUCGUUUAUAUAUAUAUAACUAUUGGACAGUGAGAAGAUUUCCAUAGAAUACCUAUUGAGUAUAUGUGUUCAUUGGUGCACCAUGCCGAAUUACUUUUCCUUUCAAAAAAGAAAUUACUUCUGUAUAUUGUGAUGCUUCCCAUAGUAGUUUGCACCCAGGAACCAACCAAGGGCAGUUGCAAUAUAUUUUACCAAGUAUAUACCGCCCUUACUAUUUUUAAAAACAGACGUUGAUGAUUCCUUUAUAUAUAUUUUUCCUACACCCUGCUGUGGGAUUCUUAAUAGCCUUACCUGCAUAUGAACAAACUGCAAGAGACAGAUACAAUUCUUGACCUGUGAAAGGUUGUUUCAUGACUUAUCCAUCUCACAUGACCACCUUCUAUAUCUACAGGUAUCUAUCACUUCUUUCCACUUACAUGGCGGAUAUAUCUACAAGUAAACCUAUAGGUUCUUUGUAGUUCAAAUGGAGUAUCCUAUAUCAUUUUUAUUACUCCCUCCGUCCCAAAAUAAGUGACUCAAGUAUACACUAACUUUAGUACAAAGUUAGUGUAAAGUUGACUCACUUAUUUUGGGAUGGAGGGAGUAUUAUGCAGAACUGUUUGUUCAGUCACAUUUGCCCUUUGCUAGAGAGAGCGAAAAUGGAAAACUAUUGUGGAAAUGAGAAUAAAGGAUGGUUGUGGUAGUAGAAUGGUAUUUUUGCUUAGUCGCAAUCAUACUUAUGGAGUAGUAAAUAACCUGUCAUGUCAUUCUUCAAGUCUGCACAUAGCAUUGUUAAUUGUAGGAGCAGAUUUCUCAUCCUUAAGAAACCUGAGCUUGCCUAAUAGCCAAUUUAGUGGUGUAUUACCAGUUCCUUGAUGUCAACUCUAAUGUCUCUGCUUACAUUCCUUGAUGUCAUUUCUGGUAUGCAAUCAUAUGACAUGUCUCAUGUAAAUGAGUAUGGGCUGCUGUCCAUUUUUUAAUCUAAAAUUGAUCUAAUGUUUUUUACAUGUUAGCUUAAUAUCCUCCUUUUCUGAUAUGCAAACUUCUAAUAUGUGAGGUGCAUAAGUGCAUGAGGUGCGAUUUGUCUUAGGCUACUCCUGCUCGUCGGCUGUGUCGUCCAGCAUCACUUAACCGUUGUGACUUGGCUGGUUUGGUUCAGCUUCAAGCUGCCCACCGCAGAGUGGGAGGCCGACACGCUCAUGAACAUCGAGGCCAGAUCAAGUACGCUGGUGCACUGUGGCGUGUGGUGGCCUAUUUUUUUAUAGUGGUUAUGAUGAUGUUUCCAAGGAAAUAUACUGACCCUGAUGUGAUGAAGGGAAGGCCAAAGAGAGAAAACACAAAAACAGUAGCAUGCAACUGCCAAUCCUUGAUGAGACUACACCGUACAGCGGAAAAUGGAUGGUAUAUACACGAUUUCAGACAUGAACACAACCACCAUUUGUCAUCAUUGUGUGGCGAGAAACUACAUUGGCCAUCACACAGGAACAUUGACACACACACCAAAGAUAUAGUGAAAUGAUGUGCUCUAUGUUCAUUCUGCUGUGUUAUUGAGAUCUUGUGGUGUAAUGAUACUGCUGUGUUAUUUUAAGAUUUAUAUUAUUAUUACCAUUA